UGUAGUUCCAGCCACUCUUACGGAGGCUUGACAGUGUGAGACAAACACCUUGACAACACUUGUCACGCUCAUCUCACACGAACGGACACAAACUCGGGAGCGAUAAGACUCUUCACGAAACUUUAGACGCGAGUUAGAUAUGAAGUACAAGUUGGACGGUACUCACUCGGAAUCUUUGGAAGGACACUCGCAGGACGGCUAACCAGCGCGAGCGACGCCAUCUUCCCGUCUACGGCAUCAGAUGAGGGCCACAACAGAGGGGAGCCGUUGAAGGGGAAUUCGGAAACGAAUCAUGAAGGGAAGAGAGGGUACCCAGUGUGGAGCUCAGCCAGGAUGCAGCCCAGACUCCACAUGUCAAUGGCCAUGCUGUAGGGGUGACCCAGGAUGACCUCUGGGGAGCGGUAGAAGCGGCUCUGGAUGUAGGUGUACACUACAGUGGAUGAGGUGACAAGAGCUCCAAUUUACUUCACUUGCUCAUCGUUCUAAUCUGAUUAAAGAAGCCUGUUUCUAUAUGUUUCAUCUGAUUGAGUUACAUAGUUACUGUGAUGUAUGUUCGAUGUUUUGUCUUCCGGUCUUUUGCUGAUCGUACAAUUACUGGAUGGCAUGAAUGUACCGCGAGUUUAUUUUGUAUUGCAUUAUUAUCAUAUUUAACUAUGCCCCUUUUGAUUUUGAUGUGUGAUGGACACUUACAUCUUAUAAUAAAUAGUACAACUCCUUUCAGUUGUGUCGCUUGGCCUCAGUGGCUCUUGGUUGCGUAAUACUACAUUAACAACCCAAAUGAUCUCGCAAACCUGCUAAAAGUGCCUUAAAGAUUGUGAAAACAAAUGAGGGCGUGGGACCUUUAAGGCAUAAUGUUUUUGAAACAACCGUUUGUAUUGCACGUUGUUAAAUUGUACCUAAUGAAGUGUCCAGUCAGUACAAUUUGGCAUAUAAAAGCACACAUGCAGCCAU